CAGGGGUCCCGAGCGUUGUUCGGAUUCACUGGGCGUAAAGGGUGCGUAGGUGGCAUGGCCAGUUUGAUGUGAAAGCUCAGGGCUUAACCCUGAAAUGGCAUUGAAUACUGCUGUGCUGGAGGUUUGGAGGGGGGACUGGAAUUCUUGGUGUAGCAGUGAAAUGCGUAGAUAUCAAGAGGAACACCAGUGGCGAAGGCGAGUCCCUGGACAACACCUGACACUGAGGCACGAAAGCCGGGGGAGCAAACAGGAUUAGAUACCCUGGUAGUCCCGGCCCUAAACGGUGCGUGUUUGCUGUAGGAGGAAUCGACCCCUUCUGUGGCGAAGCUAACGCGUUAAACACGCCGCCUGGGGAGUACGGUCGCAAGAUUA
rnacentral:rRNA from 1 species